UACGUAGGGUGCGAGCGUUGUCCGGAAUUAUUGGGCGUAAAGAGCUCGUAGGCGGCUUGUUGCGUCGGAUGUGAAAGCCCGGGGCUUAACUCCGGGUCUGCAUUCGAUACGGGCAGGCUAGAGUUCGGUAGGGGAGAUCGGAAUUCCUGGUGUAGCGGUGAAAUGCGUAGAUAUCUGGAGGAACACCGGUGGCGAAGGCGGCAUCCUGGACCAACACUGACACUGAGGAGCGAAAGCCAGGGGAGCAAACGGG
rnacentral:rRNA from 1 species